rnacentral:lncRNA from 1 species
AGAGGGAAUCAUUCUGCUUUUGCCUUUUCUAAGCGGACGCUGCUGCUACAAAUCUCGGCUUGUAUGUUUAUGGACAGACUCUAUUGAACCUCGGCUUGCAUUUUGCUGCUGGGGCUUCUCUGCUGAGCCCAAGCUGCUGGGCUGGCUGGCUCAGCUGGUGUUAUUUUUCUACAACGACGCACGCCAACUCACCAAGCUAAGAUGUACGCUGGCACUAUGAAUUUGACCUUGGAUUUUAGUGAAUCUUCCAGAAGAUUUGCAUAAAUAAAA